rnacentral:rRNA from 1 species
CCUACGGGUGGCAGCAGUGAGGAAUAAUGGUCAAUGGACGAGAGUCUGAACCAGCCAAGUAGCGUGAAGGAUGACUGCCCUAUGGGUUGUAAACUUCUUUUAUAAAGGAAUAAAACGAGGCACGUGUGCCUCUUUGCAUGUACUUUAUGAACAAGGAUCGGACAACUCCGUGCCAGCAGCGGCGGUAAUACGGAGGAUCCGUGCGUUAUCCGGAAUUAUUGGGUUGAAAGGGAGCGUAGAUGGGUUGUUAAGUCAGUUGUGAAAGGGUGCGGCUCAACCGUAAAAUUGCAAUUGAUACUGGCAGUCUGGAGGAAAGUUGAGGUAGGCGGAAUUCGUGGUGUAACAGUGAAAUGCUUAGAUAUCACGAAGAACCCCGAUUGCGAAGGCAGGUUACUAAACUGUGACUGACAUUGAUGCUCGAAAGUGUGGGUAUCAAACAGGAUUAGAUACCCCUGUAGUC